rnacentral:rRNA from 1 species
CAGUCGCCACGGUAAUACAGAGGGUGCAAGCGUUAAUCGGAAUUACUGGGCGUAAAGCGCGCGUAGGUGGUUCGCCAAGUUGGAUGUGAAAUCCCCGGGCUCAACCUGGGAACUGCAUUCAAAACUGACGAGCUAGAGUAUGGUAGAGGGUGGUGGAAUUUCCUGUGUAGCGGUGAAAUGCGUAGAUAUAGGAAGGAACACCAGUGGCGAAGGCGACCACCUGGACUGAUACUGACACUGAGGUGCGAAAGCGUGGGGAGCAAACAGGAUUAGAUACCCGAGUAGUCCCUGUCUCUUAUAC